rnacentral:rRNA from 1 species
GAUCCUUCCGUAAGGUGAACCUGCGGAAGGAUCAUUA